rnacentral:tRNA from 1 species
GGUCUUUUAGCUCAGUCGGUUAGAGCGUGGUGCUAAUAUGAUUAUGCACGCCAAGGUCACAGGUUCGACCCCUGUAAGGACCA